UGUCUAUAGGGCAAAUAAGAUGUAGUCAAGUACUCAAGUUACCACCUGUCAGCCAAGAUCAAACUUUUGGAAUAUAAGAGUUUUGGGGAGGGGUCAUCUUUUAUCAAUUUCUGUUUAUUGAUAAUAAUUAUAACAUUUGGGAAUGGGCCUAUGAGUCUGAUAUACCUUGGUGCGUGUGUGGACCACGGAGUAACCAUCACACUAAAGGAUGUUAUAUACUAUUGUACAGUAUUAUUGUUUCUCUGGAAAAAAUUGCAGUCAUUGAGUCAUAGGUAUUUUUUUUUUUUUUAAGAAAUGUUUUUAUAAUGUGUUUUAUAAUGAAGGGUGCAGGUCAUGAUACAAUACAUUCCCUGGAGAAAAAAAUAGUGCUCAGAUUUAGCCUAAGUAUGCUUUGUUGAAUUUUUAAAGAAAAAAGUAAUCUACAAAUGGAAGUAGCAGAUGAGGUCAUUUGUGCUUAAUAUUUGACCAUCAAUGUUAUAAUCUGUAAACAUAUUAGUUUGUUGUAAUAAAAUGAAUAAAUUAAACAUGUUUCUUAUCUUA